rnacentral:rRNA from 1 species
AUUGAACGCUGGCGGCAUGCCUUACACAUGCAAGUCGGACGGCAGCACGGGUGCUUGCACCUGGUGGCGAGUGGCGAACGGGUGAGUAAUACAUCGGAACAUGUCCUGUAGCGGGGGAUAGCCCGGCGAAAGCCGGAUUAAUACCGCAUACGAUCUACGGAUGAAAGCGGGGGACCUUCGGGCCUCGCGCUAUAGGGUUGGCCGAUGGCUGAUUAGCUAGUUGGUGGGGUAAAGGCCUACCAAGGCGACGAUCAGUAGCUGGUCUGAGAGGACGACCAGCCACACUGGGACUGAGACACGGCCCAGACUCCUACGGGAGGCAGCAGUGGGGAAUUUUGGACAAUGGGCGAAAGCCUGAUCCAGCAAUGCCGCGUGUGUGAAGAAGGCCUUCGGGUUGUAAAGCACUUUUGUCCGGAAAGAAAUCCUUGGCCCUAAUACGGUCGGGGGAUGACGGUACCGGAAGAAUAAGCACCGGCUAACUACGUG